AUGAACGCUAGCGGCAGGCUUAAUACAUGCAAGUCGUGGGGCAGCAUGAGUAGCAAUACUUGAUGGCGACCGGCAAACGGGUGAGGAACACGUACACAACCUUCCUUCAAGCGGGGAAUAGCCCAGAGGAAAUUUGGAUUAAUACCCCAUAAUAUAUUUGAUAAGGCAUCUUUUUAAUAUUAAAGCUUCGGCACUUGAUGAUGGGUGUGCGGCUGAUUAGAUAGUUGGCGGGGUAACGGCCCACCAAGUCUACGAUCAGUAGCUGAUGUGAGAGCAUGAUCAGCCACACGGGCACUGAGACACGGGCCCGACUCCUACGGGAGGCAGCAGUAAGGAAUAUUGGACAAUGGACGAAAGUCUGAUCCAGCCAUGCCCGCGUGAAGGAUUAAGGUCCUCUGGAUUGUAAACUCUUUUAUAUGGGACGAAAAAAGGGCAUUCUUGUUCACUUGACGGUACCAUAUGAAUAAGCACCGGCUAACUCCGUG
rnacentral:rRNA from 1 species